AAGAACUUUUAGGCCGCAACCUCGCCGGCCAAAUGUAUGGCAUUCAUUCCAGUACACUGCAGGAAGAGCAAUACCCUUCGACGAAAUGACUAGGACUCAACAAAGGCGUUUCUAGCGAAAUUACGGACGGAUGAUGAGGCAGCAACAAGGAAUGCCACACCCUAAAGCACCUCUACUACUCAAGGUAGCCAAUCAAAACGUCCUAAAGAGUAAUAAAGAAACUGGUACAGAUUAAUCAAUGAAAGAACUGCCAGAGACCUCUUCUGGGUGAUCAAGGUUUGAGAGAGAUAAAAAGGAUGAAGAAGAUCCAGAUGAGCCUCUUGCUAUCCAAUUCGGUACGUUGCCUCCCGUCAUGGCCAAUAAUUACUUACUGGCCAAUGAGUUCAAAAAUAAGGAAAAAGAAGAAGAGAGGGAGGACAACGAAGGAGAAGCCUGCGUGCUAGUGUGUGAAGAAGGCCAGACUUCUGGAGGGGCCUACAACGAUGAAGAGGACGAUGGGAUGACAGACAUUGAAGAAGAAAUUGAUCUAGAAGCAGAAAGGAAAAAGAGAGGAGUAUCACGCAAUACUCUGUUUAAGCAACUACAUCAAGAGGGAGUCCGCGAAGUAGACUUAUUGGGGGAGCCAUCUGGGCGUCCUUUCGAUUUCUACGUACUGUACGGAACACCCAAAAGAAAGAAGAGAGUGCC
rnacentral:lncRNA from 1 species